CUCCUUCAGGGUGGCCAAGGAGGGGGCAGUUGUUUGAAGUUCACCACUAAGCUCAAAGAGGAAAACAUGCAAAUGGUGGCUUCUCCUCCAUGUCAGAUGUGAUCUCUCUCUUCUUUCCUGCUACAGUAAUCCGGUACAACAGUGAUCUGGUUCAGAAAUACCACCCUUGCUUCUGGAUCGAUGGGCAGUAUCUCUGCUGCUCUCAGACAGCCAAAAAUGCUAUGGGCUGCCAAAUUUUGGAGAACAGGAAUGGAAGCUUAAAACCUGGGAGUUCUCACCGGAAGACAAAAAAGCCUCUUCCCCCA
rnacentral:sRNA from 1 species